UGCGUAUAUACUUGUAUGCAUGCUCCAGAAGUUUAGCAUAAGUUCGAGGGAGAGUUUUGUCUAAAGAAUAUGUGAAUCGAGGUCCCUUCAGACCUCUUUUCAUGACCGAUAUGGUCAUAUUUUUAUUGAGGUCUUUGACCUCAAUCGUGGCCACAUUAAAACGGGUCACAAAAUCUCGAAGUGUCUCAGUCUCUCUUUGCU
rnacentral:lncRNA from 1 species